AUUUUACUAGAAUUUUGAGGUUGAAGAAGAGAAAGAGAACUCAAGCAAAGUGUAUCCAUGGCUGAAUCUUGGUUCAUUCUGCAGAUCACUGGUUUUUAAUUCGGUUUGAACUCUUCAAAAAGAAUUAAGAGGCCGAGAAGAAUUAAACCGAGCUUAUAGACCAAGGAUCUAGUCCAAGACGGUAGAGAUCGAGUUCCCGGUGCCUGAUAGACUGCCUUAGUCUGCUGAAUCUCCGUUAUCAAUUGCUAGAUCGUGUUUUGAGUUGGGUAUAAAGUCUGUUGUGUUAUGAUGUAUAUACACCCUUGUAUGUUAUAGAUACUCCACAGUUUGUAUAAGCUUUAGGAGCUGUAGUUGUGUAAAUUUUUGUUGGUUAUAUUUUGAUUAAGGUGUCUUUAGGUUUA